rnacentral:rRNA from 1 species
AUUGAACGCUGGCGGCGGGCCUAACACAUGCAAGUCGAACGAGUGGCGGACGGGUGAGUAAUGUCUGGGAACAUGCCCGAUGGAGGGGGAUAACUACUGGCAACGGUAGCUAAUACCGCAUACCAUCGGAUGUGCCCAGAUGGGAUUGGCUAGUAGGUGGGGUAACGGCGCACCUAGACGAGGAUCCCUAGAUGGUCUGAGGUGAUGACCAGCCACGCUGUAACUGAGACACGGUACAGACUCCUACGGGAGGCAGCAGAGGGGAAUAUUGCACAAUGGGCGCAAGCCUGAUGCAGCCCUGCCGCGUGUAUGAAGAAGGCCUGCGGGUUGUAAAGUACUGUCAGCGAGGAGGCGUUACUCGCAGAAGAAGCACCGGCUAACUCCGUGCCAGCAGCCGCGGUAAUUC